UACGUAGGGGGCGAGCGUUGUCCGGAUUUAUUGGGCGUAAAGAGCUCGUAGGCGGUUUGGUAAGUCGGGUGUGAAAUCUCCACGCUCAACGUGGAGGGGCCACUCGAUACUGCCAUGACUCGAGUCCGGUAGAGGAGUGUGGAAUUCCCGGUGUAGCGGUGAAAUGCGCAGAUAUCAGGAGGAACACCGGUGGCGAAGGCGGAUCUCUGGGCCAUUACUGACGCUGAGGAGCGAAAGCGUGGGGAGCGAACAGG
rnacentral:rRNA from 1 species